rnacentral:rRNA from 1 species
AGCUAAGAAUAUUCCGCAAUGGACGAAAGUCUGACGGAGCGACGCCGCGUGGAUGAAGAAGGCCGAAAGGUUGUAAAAUCCUUUUGUUGGGGAAGAAUAAGCGUGGGAGGGAAUGCCCGCGUGAUGACAUGAACCGACGAAUAAGUCCCGGCUAACUACGUGCCAGCAGCCGCGGUAACACGUAGGGGACAAGCGUUAUUCGGAAUUACUGGGCGUAAAGGGCAUGUAGGCGGCUUUGUAAGCCUGGCGUGAAAGUCACCGGCUCAACCGGUGGAUUGCGUCAGGAACUGCAGAGCUUGAGUCAUGGAGAGGAAGGCAGAAUUCCUGGUGUAGGGGUGAAAUCUGUAGAGAUCAGGAAGAAUACCAGUGGCGAAGGCGGCCUUCUGGCCAAUGACUGACGCUGAGGUGCGAAAGUGUGGGGAUCAAACAGGAUUAGAUACCCUGGUAGUCCACACUGUAAACGAUGUGCACUAGGUGCUGGGGCGGAUGCUUCAGUGCCGGAGCUAACGCGGUAAGUGCACCGCCUGGGGAGUAUGCUCGCAAGGGU